rnacentral:rRNA from 1 species
ACUCAAAGGAAUUGACGGGGGCCCGCACAAGCGGUGGAGCAUGUGGUUCAAUUCGAAGCAACGCGAAGAACCUUACCAGCCCUUGACAUGGGGAGUAUGGAUCUGAGAGAUCGGAUCCUUCAGUUCGGCUGGCUCCCACACAGGUGCUGCAUGGCUGUCGUCAGCUCGUGUCGUGAGAUGUUGGGUUAAGUCCCGCAACGAGCGCAACCCUCGCCUCUAGUUACCAUCGGGUAAAGCCGGGGACUCUAGAGGAACUGCCGGUGACAAGCCGGAGGAAGGUGGGGAUGACGUCAAGUCCUCAUGGCCCUUACGGGCUGGGCUACACACGUGCUACAAUGGCGGUGACAGUGGGCGGCGAUGGGGCGACCCGGAGCCAAUCUCAAAAAGCCGUCUCAGUUCAGAUUGCACUCUGCAACUCGGGUGCAUGAAGCCGGAAUCGCUAGUAAUCGCAGAUCAGCACGCUGCGGUGAAUACGUUCCCGGGCCUUGUACACACCGCCCGU